rnacentral:rRNA from 1 species
AUUGAACGCUGGCGGCAUGCCUUACACAUGCAAGUCGAACGGCAGCACGGACUUCGGUCUGGUGGCGAGUGGCGAACGGGUGAGUAAUGUAUCGGAACGUACCUUUCAGUGGGGGAUAACGUAGCGAAAGUUACGUUAAUACCGCAUAUUCUGUGAGCAGGAAAGCAGGGGAUCGCAAGACCUUGCGCUGAUUGAGCGGCCGAUAUCAGAUUAGCUAGUUGGUGGGGUAAAGGCCUACCAAGGCUACGAUCUGUAGCGGGUCUGAGAGGAUGAUCCGCCACACUGGAACUGAGACACGGUCCAGACUCCUACGGGAGGCAGCAGUGGGGAAUUUUGGACAAUGGGGGCAACCCUGAUCCAGCCAUGCCGCGUGAGUGAAGAAGGCCUUCGGGUUGUAAAGCCCUUUCGGCCGGGAAGAAAUCGCAUAGGUUAAUACCCUGUGUGGAUGACGGUACCGGAAUAAGAAGCACCGGCUAACUACGUGCCAGCAGCCGCGGUAAUACGUAGGGUGCGAGCGUUAAUCGGAAUUACUGGGCGUAAAGCGUGCGCAGGCGGUUUCGUAAGACAGAGGUGAAAUCCCCGGGCUCAACCUGGGAACUGCCUUUGUGACUGCGAGGCUAGAGUACGGCAGAGGGGGGUGGAAUUCCACGUGUAGCAGUGAAAUGCGUAGAGAUGUGGAGGAACACCGAUGGCGAAGGCAGCCCCCUGGGCCGAUACUGACGCUCAUGCACGAAAGCGUGGGUAGCAAAC